CUUUUGAUAAGUGUAAGUAGUUUAUUGAAUAAGGGGAGGGAAAGUUCUGGUGUCAGCCGCCGCGGUAAUACCAGCUCCCCGAGUGGUUGGGACGAUUAUUGGGCCUAAAGCAUCCGUAUCCCGUUCUGUAGGUCUUAUGUUAAAACCAAUUGCUUAACAAUUGGAUCGCAUGAGAUACCACAAAACUAGGAGGCGGGAGAGGUGGACGGUACUCCACGGGUAGGGGUAAAAUCCUCUGAACCAUGGAAGACCACCAGUGGCGAAGGCGGUCCACCAGAACGCGCUCGACGGUGAGGGAUGGAAGCUGGGGUAGCGAACCGGAUUAGAUACCCGGGUAGUCCCAGCUGUAAACGAUGCAAGCUAGGUGAUGCAUUAGCCAUGUGUUAAUGCAGUGCCGCAGGGAAGCCGUUAAGCUUGCCGCCUGGGGAGUACGGUCGCAAGGCUGAAACUUAAAGGAA
rnacentral:rRNA from 1 species